ACGGAGGGGGCGAACGUUGUUCGGAAUUACUGGGCGUAAAGGGUGCGUAGGCGGUUCGGCCAGUCUGAUGUGAAAGCCCAUAGCUCAACUAUGGAUCCGCAUUGGAAACUACCGAGCUAGAGAGUGAAAGAGGCAGGUGGAAUUCCUGGUGUAGCGGUGAAAUGCGUAGAUAUCAGGAAGAACGCUCGUGGCGAAGGCGGGCUGCUGGUCUAUUUCUGACGCUGAGGCACGAAAGCCAGGGGAGCAAACGG
rnacentral:rRNA from 1 species